UUUAUAAAAGUUGUUUUUUGUUAAGUAAUAUUUUGAAAAACUUAAAUUAAUUAUUGUAUUGAAAAAGAAUUUUAUUUAAUUGUAAAUAAGAAUAUUUAAUUAUUAGUAUCUUUUGUAUCAGAGUUUAUUAAAAUUAAAUUAAAUAUUUAUUAAUUUCAAAUUUUUAAGAUUUAUUAGAUUAUUUUUAUUAUUGUUUUAUAAAUAUAAAAAAUUUUUUAAUUGAAAUUAAAAGUUAAUCGUUUAAAAAUAUAUUUAAUUAUUUUAGAAAUUAAUUUAGUUAAGAAUUAGUUAUUUAAAUAAAAUAAUUAUUAUUUUAUUUUAUUUCUAAUUUUAGAUUAAUGGGGAUAAGCUUGUUAAUUUAAUAUGAUUAAUAAUAAUUUAUUUUAAUUAGUAAGGUUAUUAUUUCCUAUCUUUUAUUUUAUUGUAAAUAAUUAAAAUUUUUUAUAUAUAAAUUUUUUAAAUUUUCUAUUUUUUAUAUAAAAUUAAUUAUUAUAAUUUAUUAAGUAAUAAAAUAAUGAUAAAAUUAGUAAAUUAAAUUUUAUUUUUAAUUUUAUUUUAACAAUAAAUUAAAUGAACUAGGCAAAAGUAUUUUUACCUGUUUAUUAAAAACAUGUCUAUUUGAAUAAAAUAAAUAGUCUGAUCUGCCCAUUGAUUAAUUUUAAAGGCUGCAGAAUUUUAACUGUACAAAGGUAGCAUAAUAAUUUGAUUUUUAAUUGGAAUCUUGUAUGAAUGAUAUGAUAAAAAAUGCUCUUUAUUUAAUUUAAAUAUUUUAAUUUUUUAUUUAAGUGAAAAAACUUAAAUUAUAUAAAAAGACAAUAAGACCCUAUAAAACUUUAUAGUUUAAGUUAAUUAUUUUUAAAUUAAAUUAUUUAAUUGGGGAAAUUAUUAGAUUAAUUAAAUUCUUUUAUUUUUAAAUUAUUUAAUNNNNNNNNNNNNNNNNNNNNNNNNNNNNNNNAAGUUGCUUUAGGGAUAACAGCAUAAUAAUUUUUUAAAGUUCUUAUAAAAAAAAUUGAUUAUGACCUCGAUGUUGGAUUUAAAUUAUUAAUUAAAUGUAAAUGUUUAAUUAAUUAGUCUGUUCGACUAAAAUUUUAACAUGAUCUGAGUUUAAAUCGGUGUG
rnacentral:rRNA from 1 species